rnacentral:rRNA from 1 species
GAGUUUGAUUCUGGCUCCCAUCGAACGUUAGCGGCGGGCCUAACACAUGCAACUCGAACGAGAAAGCUCUUCGGAGUGAGUAAAGUGGCGCACGGGUGAGUAACACGUAGGUAAUCUACCCUUUGGCGGGGGAUAACGCUCCGAAAGGAACGCUAUACCGCGUAAGACCACAGCUACCACGGUAGCAGUGGUAAAAGGUGCCCUUAAAGCACCACCGAAGGAUGAGCCUGCGUCCCAUCAGCUUGUUGGUAAGGUAACGGCUUACCAAGGCUAAGACGGGUAGCUGGUCUGAGAGGAUGGUCAGCCACACUGGUACUGGAACACGGACCAGACUCCUACGGGAGGCAGCAGUGAGGAAUAUUGGGCAAUGGGCGCAAGCCUGACCCAGCCACGCCGCGUGUGUGAUGAAGGCCUUCGGGUCGUAAAGCACUGUGGGGAGAGACGAAAAAGCUCGUUUAGGAAAUGAUCGAGCCCUUGACGGUACCUCCUUAGCAAGCACCGGCCUAACUCUGUGCCAGCAGCCGCGGUAAUAC